rnacentral:piRNA from 1 species
UGCUCUUCUAAUGCUAUCAAA